AAAUUGAAGAGUUUGAUCAUGGCUCAGAUUGAACGCUGGCGGCAGGCCUAACACAUGCAAGUCGAACGGUAGCACAGAGAGCUUGCUCUCGGGUGACGAGUGGCGGACGGGUGAGUAAUGUCUGGGAAACUGCCUGAUGGAGGGGGAUAACUACUGGAAACGGUGGCUAAUACCGCAUAAUGUCGCAAGACCAAAGAGGGGGACCUUCGGGCCUCUUGCCAUCAGAUGUGCCCAGAUGGGAUUAGCUAGUUGGUGAGGUAACGGCUCACCAAGGCGACGAUCCCUAGCUGGUCUGAGAGGAUGACCAGCCACACUGGAACUGAGACACGGUCCAGACUCCUACGGGAGGCAGCAGUGGGGAAUAUUGCACAAUGGGCGCAAGCCUGAUGCAGCCAUGCCGCGUGUAUGAAGAAGGCCUUCGGGUUGUAAAGUACUUUCAGCGGGGAGGAA
rnacentral:rRNA from 1 species